GCUUUGAUUUCUAGUGUCUUGUAAGGCUUUCUUUCUCGGGCCACCAUGGAAUUCUAGAAUGCUUGUUGAAGUACCAAUGAAAGGCAAGCUUUUCUAAUUUGACAUCUGGUCAACGAGCUCUGGUUGCGAGUGCCGAGUAGCAGCAUUUGGUCGACGAGCGACGAGUAGCAUCGUCUAGUCAUUUUAAUCUGUUUGGCUAUGAGCAAGAAUCAGAUUACUCAAAUGGGCAUGCAUCGACAGUUAGUUAGCUCUGCUAUUGUUUCAAAUUUGAAAACUGAUGUCAGAAAAGGAGCAUGGGACAAAGUAGAGGAAACUGUGUCUCACUUGAAGCAAAAACAAUUAGAAAUGGCUGAAAUAGCAGUGUGGUUGGAAG